rnacentral:rRNA from 1 species
UACGAAGGGGGCGAGCGUUGUUCGGAUUUACUGGGCGUAAAGGGCGCGCAGGCGGUCUUGAAAGUCAGGCGUGAAAGCCCCGGGCUUAACCUGGGAAUUGCGCUUGAUACUCUGAGACUGGAGUACGGGAGAGGAGAGUGGAAUUCCCAGUGUAGAGGUGAAAUUCGUAGAUAUUGGGAAGAACACCAGUGGCGAAGGCGGAACUCUGGGCCGGAACUGACGCUGAGGAGCGAAAGCGUGGGGAGCGAACAGG